GUUGUUCAGCAGAAGCUGUUAACCUUUAAAGCGCUGAUACGUUUUGGUUUAUUUCAUUUUUUUUAACCUGAAUUGCUGUCUUUUUAAGAAGUCUCUGAAAUCGUCUCCCUUGACAGGGCAAGCGUAACGUGCCUUAAGUCUCCAUCUCGUGGAAGAUCUGCUUGGUUAACAGUUGCUAUGUGUUGCUGUUGGCUUUUAAGGAACAUCUCUGUGUUGGGUUUUUUUUAGUGUGUUUUGGUGGUUUUUUUUCUCUUUGUUUUAUUUGAUUAUUUUUUUUCCCUUUUGCAUUUGGUUUUGCAAAGAGGUUUGGCAAACACCAGAGCCAUCAAGGCCAGGGCAGCUAUGAGGGUCAGGGAAUAUUUGAUCCUCCAGUUUCCUUCAUGUGGUUCUUCCCUGAUCCUUUCUCUUUGAAGAAUGCGAGUGAAUUUCUUCUCUUCUCUGAAGCAAAUGAAUCUUUCAAUGUUCCUGGUAGUCUGCCCUCCAUCCUUCUACUCUUACUGAUGCUGUUGACCUGGGUUCCUUGUGUGCUCCUCUGCACUCUACCAAGGUGCAAAACUUGACUUCUCUAGUGGCUCCCAUCACAGCCUUGUUCCACCCAUGGGAUACUCCCUCCAGUCUGGCAUUAGUCACAACUGGAGACUGGACUAAUUUGCUGAUGUUGUACAAGGAAUUGUCUCUCCUGGAGACCUGGCUGAUGUGGUCAGAACU